rnacentral:rRNA from 1 species
UACAGAGGGUGCGAGCGUUAAUCGGAAUUACUGGGCGUAAAGCGUGCGUAGACGGUUAUUUAAGUCGGAUGUGAAAGCCCCGGGCUCAACCUGGGAAUUGCAUUCGAGACUGAAUAGCUAGGGUACGGUAGAGGGAAGUGGAAUUUCCGGUGUAGCGGUGAAAUGCGUAGAUAUCUGAAGGAACAUCAGUGGCGAAAGCGACUUCCUGGACCAGUACCGACGUUCAGGCACGAAAGCGUGGGGAGCAAACAGG